rnacentral:rRNA from 1 species
CCCAGCAGCCAUAUCGCCCUGCGACUCCCAGCUGGCAGCCCCACUGGAGCUCAGCAGGUGUGAGCCUGGCCAGUACCUGGAUGGGAGACCUCCUGCGAAACACUAAGGCUGCUGCAGGAA